CAGCAGCCGCGGGAAUACGAAGGGGGCUAGCGUUGUUCGGAUUUACUGGGCGUAAAGGGCGCGUAGGCGGACUGAUAAGUCAGGGGUGAAAUCCCAAGGCUCAACCUUGGAACUGCCUUUGAUACUGUUUGUCUUGAGUUCGAGAGAGGUAAGUGGAACUGCGAGUGUAGAGGUGAAAUUCGUAGAUAUUCGCAAGAACACCAGUGGCGAAGGCGGCUCACUGGCCCGAUACUGACGCUCAUGCACGAAAGCGUGGGGAGCAAACAGGAUUAGAUACCCGUGUAGUCCCUGUCUCUUAUAC
rnacentral:rRNA from 1 species